CCUGUGUCUGGUACAUCAGUGGGGCGUUGCAAGUUUCUAAUCUCAUCCAAAUUAUGCAGGUCAGGAGAAAGACCUCCAUGCAUGCAGAGAAUCUUCUCAUAAAUUAGACCUGCCACUGGCAAGCAAUUAAAACAUUCUGUGAAUAUCCUCCAUAACCUAACAUUAAAUCUUCUCUUACACUCAUCAUAAAAACCAUAUAUGCGGUUUAUAGAAGCACAUUCAUGGUUUCCCCUCAAGAGGAAGAAGUUUUCAGGAUAUUUUAUCUUGUAAGCAAGGAGAAGACAUAUUGUCUCCAGACUUUGCUUGCCUCGAUCAACAUAAUCCCCCAAAAACAAGUAAUUUGCAUGUGGAGGUAAUCCACCAUAUUCAAACAGCCUUAGAAGAUCAGAAUAUUGACCAUGGAUGUCACCACAAAUCUUGAUGGGUGCUUCAAGCUCCAACAAAUUAGGCUGUUGCACGAAAAUCUCUCUAGAAACGACACAAAGCUGCCGGAUCUCGGCCUCCGACAACNGAGCUGCCGGAUCUCAGCCUCGGAUAACUGUACCUGCUUGCCGGGCUUGCCCCUGACCUCUAAAAGACGCCUGAUAAUAUCAUCGAGAACUACUUGGUCCAUUAUCAGUUAUUUUCCCCUGCUUUUAAAAAUAUCCUUUUUCGUAUGUCUAAAAAUCAAAGCGGGAAGGAAAAUAAGUCAACGGGUAUUUCCAAUGGAUGUGAUAGAGAGAUGGAAAAGCUGAGCGAGGAGACUGAAAAAGAGAGAGAGUAGCAUGCCUUAGAGGGGAUAGAGAAAAUGGGGGUGGGGCUGUCGUUUUGUUAGGGGAGAAAUGCGAGAAAUGCCGUUUUACGAGGGUGAGAAGAAGCCUGAGACACGAGCUGUUUCUCGCGGUGAGAGUGAAGAGAAAAUGGCAAGGGUUUUGCUUGGAAGUGGGCUGAC
rnacentral:misc_RNA from 1 species